rnacentral:rRNA from 1 species
GUACGUAGGCGGCUUGGUAAGUCAAUUGUGAAAGCCCAGGGCUUAACCCUGGAAUUGCAAUCGAAACUGCCUUGCUUGAGUUUAGUGGGGGAUGGCGGAAUUCUUAGUGUAGGGGUGAAAUCCGUAGAUAUUAAGAGGAAUACCGGUGGCGAAGGCGGCCAUCUACGCUAAUACUGACGCUAAGGUACGAAAGCGUGGGGAGCAAACAGGAUUAGAUACCCCGGUAGUCCACGCAGUAAACGAUGAGUGCUAGUUGUCGGGGCCUUAGGCUUCGGUGGCGAAGUUAACACGUUAAGCACUCCGCCUGGGGACUACGGUCGCAAGACUAAAACUCAAAGAAAUUGACGGGGACCCGCACAAGCAGUGGAGCAUGUGGUUUAAUUCGAUGCUACGCGAAAAACCUUACCAACCCUUGAAUCCCAUUGACCGGUACAGAAAUGUACUUUUGGAGCAAUCCACAGUGGAGACAGGUGUUGCAUGGCUGUCGUCAGCUCGUGUCGUGAGAUGUUAGGUUAAGUCCUUCAACGAGCGCAACCCUCAUCCUUAUUU